rnacentral:rRNA from 1 species
AGUGAACGCUGGCGGUAGGCCUAACACAUGCAAGUCGAGCGGCAGCACAGUAAGAGCUUGCUCUUACGGGUGGCGAGUGGCGGACGGGUGAGGAAUACAUCGGAAUCUACUUUUUCGUGGGGGAUAACGUAGGGAAACUUACGCUAAUACCGCAUACGACCUACGGGUGAAAGCAGGGGAUCUUCGGACCUUGCGCGAUUGAAUGAGCCGAUGUCGGAUUAGCUAGUUGGCGGGGUAAAGGCCCACCAAGGCGACGAUCCGUAGCUGGUCUGAGAGGAUGAUCAGCCACACUGGUACUGAGACACGGUCCAGACUCCUACGGGAGGCAGCAGUGGGGAAUAUUGGACAAUGGGCGCAAGCCUGAUCCAGCCAUACCGCGUGGGUGAAGAAGGCCUUCGGGUUGUAAAGCCCUUUUGUUGGGAAAGAAAAGCAGCAGGUUAAUACCCCGCUGUUCUGACGGUACCCAAAGAAUAAGCACCGGCUAACUUCGUG